AAACGACAAGGUUUUCUCGAUCUUUCUCGAGAAUAAGAGAGAGUUAUAAGAACGAUGCGAUAGCCAAGCCAACUACAAAACAACUGAAAGACUAACGACGUUCCUCGCCGGUUUGACGUCCAUAAAUCUAUGAAUGAUUCUUGGAAUAUACAACUGACUUAGUGAUAAAUUCUGCAAACAUUUCCUUCUGAAAGGAAAAUAUGGAAUGAAAGAAGGAAGUAAAUUUUUCGUUUAGCUUUCAAUGUCCCGGAAUGUCAACGGAGGGCUAAAAAUAGAGUCAUUAAAUGACAUCAGCUGCAUAAAUAUAUAGAAAUAAAUGUAAUAAAAAGAUUAUAUAAAAAUUAAACGAUUCUAAUGACAAUAAAUAUUGCUGACACUAA